CCUACGGGUGGCAGCAGUGGGGAAUAUUGGACAAUGGGCGAAAGCCUGAUCCAGCCAUGCCGCGUGUGUGAAGAAGGCCUUCGGGUUGUAAAGCACUUUCAGUGGGGAAGAAAGCCUUGGGGCUAAUACCCUCGAGGAAGGACAUCACCCACAGAAGAAGCACCGGCUAACUCCGUGCCAGUAGCCGCGGUAAUACGGAGGGUGCGAGCGUUAAUCGGAAUUACUGGGCGUAAAGCGCGCGUAGGCGGUCUGAUAAGCCGGUUGUGAAAGCCCCGGGCUCAACCUGGGAACGGCAUCCGGAACUGUCAGGCUAGAGUGCAGGAGAGGAAGGUAGAAUUCCCGGUGUAGCGGUGAAAUGCGUAGAGAUCGGGAGGAAUACCAGUGGCGAAGGCGGCCUUCUGGACUGACACUGACGCUGAGGUGCGAAAGCGUGGGUAGCAAACAGGAUUAGAUACCCUAGUAGUC
rnacentral:rRNA from 1 species